UACGUAGGGUGCGAGCGUUUAAUCGGAAUUACUGGGGCGUAAAGCGCGCGCAGGCGGCCUUUUUUUUAAGUCCAUCGGUCAAAUGCCGGGGGCUCAACCCCCGUGCCCCGCCGAGGAUACUGGGAAGGCUGGAGACACGUAGAGGCAAGCGGAAUUCCGGGGUGUAGCGGUGGAAUGCGUAGAGAUCCGGAAGAACACCGGAGGCGAAGGCGGC
rnacentral:rRNA from 1 species